rnacentral:misc_RNA from 1 species
ACUGGAUCUUGAGGAAACCAUGGUUCAGUCACACCGCCAAGGAAGGGUGAUGGCAAGUGAGGAUUAGGCAGUGCAGAUUGGAAGGAGCUCAUGUCCAAGAACUGCAACAUGAUACACCAAGAUGAAAUUAAAAACAAUUAUCCACGUCUUUUUCUUAACAUAUAUAUCCAACAUAUAAACAGCGAUUAUAAAGUAAUUGGACAACGAAUCCAUAACCUAUAACAUGUCAUAUCAUUACCAUGAUUUGUGUCCAAAUAUAGAUUUGUGUCCAAAUAUACAUUUCUAGCAAACAUGGCAAAGAUUAUUCUUCAAGUCUUCGACAUGGAAUUUCAUGGUAGCAUGAACACACUAAAAGAAUACUGAGUUUUUAAAUUCUUCCUUUAAUGUAGCACUCCAAGUAAAGUAUGGGAAGUCCUUGCUACAGCACAAUCUCAUCAUAAUCGAAGAACUGUUGCCAUUUCAUUUGCCACAUGAAGGCUAUAAGUUAUAAAUCUAGCAAAGGUUUGUGGCCCACCCCUUCCAAUGACUUCCAUA